rnacentral:tRNA from 1 species
GCUGGCAUGGCAGAGGUUGCAGUUGUUGCUGGCAUGGCAGCGGAUGCUGCAGCUGCAAAUGUUGCUGCUGGCUUGG